rnacentral:rRNA from 1 species
UACGGAGGAUCCAAGCGUUAUCCGGAUUUAUUGGGUUUAAAGGGUGCGUAGGUGGGAUAAUAAGUCAGAGGUGAAAGCUAGCAGCUUAACUGUUAAAUUGCCUUUGAUACUGUUAUUCUUGAGUAUAGUUGGCGUUGGCGGAAUGUGACAUGUAGCGGUGAAAUGCGUAGAUAUGUCACAGAACACCGAUCGCGAAGGCAGCUAACGAAACUAUCACUGACACUGAUGCACGAAAAGCGUGGGGGAGCAAACAGG